CUAGAGACUGGAGAGGAUCCUGCAGGGAUAACCAGCCCUCUAAGGAGACUUCCCCUGUAGCAAAGGUACCGCCUGGCUCCAGUGGAUUCCCCAGGAAGACAGUAAUUCCUCAUCCUCUAAUAGAGCCAAUAAAUAUCGUGAGAGGAUUUUCUAUGGAUUUCUACCGGCUCUUCCUACUGGAUUUAAGUAGUGUCUUCUCGGUAUAAUUUUGUGACUGCUGUCAAAACAGGAUCCAUUUCCACACCAGAAGGCUCAGCAACAUGCUGCUAAUCUGGCGUCAUCACUAAGGAACUGAAGCAGCAAGACAGAGGAGAGCCAUGCCUGAGCGUCGCCUCUUCUUUUAUCUCCACACGGCCUGAAUUUGAUUUAACUCUGCGUCUUCCUCCUCAACGAGGUUGAAAUAUAUCAGUUUACUUAAUGGCCCAUCAAG